rnacentral:rRNA from 1 species
UACAGAGGGUGCGAGCGUUUAAUCGGAGUUACUGGGCGUAAAGGGCGCGUAGGCGGUAGUAUGGGUGUGAUGUGAAAGCCCUGGGCUUAACCUAGGAAGUGCAUCGCAAACUAUACAACUGGAGUAUAUGAGAGGGUGGCGGAAUUUCCGGUGUAGCGGUGAAAUGCGUAGAGAUCGGAAGGAACGUCAAUGGCGAAGGCAGCCACCUGGCAUAAUACUGACGCUGAGGCGCGAAAGCGUGGGGAGCGAACAGG